rnacentral:rRNA from 1 species
AUUGAACGCUGGCGGCAUGCCUUACACAUGCAAGUCGAACGGCAGCACGGGGGCAACCCUGGUGGCGAGUGGCGAACGGGUGAGUAAUGCAUCGGAACGUGCCCAGUAGUGGGGGAUAACCAGUCGAAAGACUGGCUAAUACCGCAUACGACCUACGGGUGAAAGCGGGGGACCGCAAGGCCUCGCGCUAUUGGAGCGGCCGAUGUCUGAUUAGCUAGUUGGCGGGGUAAAAGCCCACCAAGGCGACGAUCAGUAGCUGGUCUGAGAGGACGACCAGCCACACUGGGACUGAGACACGGCCCAGACUCCUACGGGAGGCAGCAGUGGGGAAUUUUGGACAAUGGGCGCAGGCCUGAUCCAGCCAUGCCGCGUGCGGGAAGAAGGCCUUCGGGUUGUAAACCGCUUUUGGCAGGAACGAAACGGCGCGAGCCAAUACCUCGCGCUAAUGACGGUACCUGCAGAAUAAGCACCGGCUAACUACGUGCCAGCCGCCGCGGUAACAC